rnacentral:tRNA from 1 species
GCCCUAGUAGCUUAACUUAAAGCAUUGUUCUUGUAAACCAAAGCCGGGAAACCCCCCUAGAGCA